GACAGUGGCGAGACCCCCUCCUUUCUCGUGAUAUCCUUGGGACUGAUCGAUUUAACUUGGAACACGUAUCUUAAUCUUACCGAGCAAAACCAAGGUCGUUAACUUUGGAACAUGGACUUGCUAUCUGGGAGUGCUGGAGUGGUCAUGGAUCGAGACUUUUGGAUUGACUUAUAAACC